UGAGCAUGACGUCAUCGUCCUGUCGGGCGUCCUCACAAAUUACCUGCAUUCAGAGAUUCAUACCGGCACAGGUCGGUAGCGAAGUCCUUUGGGGCCUUAGCUCAGCUGGGAGAGCACCUGCUUUGCAAGCAGGGGGUCGUCGGUUCGAUCCGACAGGCUCCACCAUAUUGAGUGAAAAGACUUCGGGUCUGUAGCUCAGGUGGUAGAGCGCACCCCUGAUAAGGGUGGUCGGUAGUUCGAGUCUACCCAGACCCACCACUCUGAAUGUAGUGCACACUUAAGAAUUUAUAUGGAUCAGCGUUGAGGCUGAGACAGUUCUUUAUAACUUGUGACGUAGCGAGCGUUUGAGAUAUUAUCUAAACGUGUCGUUGAGGCUAAGGCGGGGACUUCGAGUCCCUAAAUAAUUGAGUCGUAUUUCGCGUUGGUGGCUUUGUACUCCACACAGACGGCAUAUAGCUCCGAGGCAACUUGGGGUUAUA
rnacentral:misc_RNA from 1 species